UACGUAGGGUGCGAGCGUUAAUCGGAAUUACUGGGCGUAAAGCGUGCGCAGGCGGUUCGUUAAGUUCGUUGUGAAAGCCCCGGGCUCAACCUGGGAACUGCAAUGGAAACUGGCGGGCUUGAGUGUGGCAGAGGGGGGUGGAAUUCCGCGUGUAGCAGUGAAAUGCGUAGAGAUGCGGAGGAACACCGAUGGCGAAGGCAGCCCCCUGGGCCAACACUGACACUGAGGAGCGAAAGCCAGGGGAGCAAACGGG
rnacentral:rRNA from 1 species